UACGAAGGGGGCUAGCGUUGCUCGGAAUUACUGGGCGUAAAGGGCACGUAGGCGGCUUUCUAAGUUGGGGGUGAAAUCCUGGAGCUCAACUCCAGAACUGCCUUCGAUACUGGAAAGCUCGAGUUCGGGAGAGGUGAGUGGAACUGCGAGUGUAGAGGUGAAAUUCGUAGAUAUUCGCAAGAACACCAGUGGCGAAGGCGGCUCACUGGCCCGGUACUGACGCUGAGGUGCGAAAGCGUGGGGAGCAAACAGG
rnacentral:rRNA from 1 species